CCUCCUGCAAACCACCUGCCUGUGGUGGAACAGUUGCUUCUGUGGAGGCACCUGAGUAGUUUUAAACCUGUGACUUGAUAAAAAUACAAGUGGAAGGCCAUAGAGGGAGGCAACAAGUACUGUAACGAACUGCCAAAUAUGUCACUGUUCACUACAAGAUCUGCUUAACUCACUUACCACCGCUCGGAGAUCUUCACCAUCUCCUGCCUGCAGGCAGAACAGAUGCUCCUAUUCCUCUCUUGUCCUUUCCCAGAGAGAUGCCUUCUAUGGUUUUGCACCAAUUUCUUAAAAAUAAUAAUGAACUUUACUGAACGAGGAGCCACACACUUAUUUCUAUUCUA